rnacentral:rRNA from 1 species
UACAGAGGGGGCUAGCGUUGUUCGGAAUUACUGGGCGUAAAGGGCGCGUAGGUGGCCUGUUAAGUCGAACGUGAAAUCCCCGGGCUCAACCCGGGAACUGCGUCCGAGACUGGCAGGCUCGAAUCCGGGAGAGGGAUGUGGAAUUCCAGGUGUAGCGGUGAAAUGCGUAGAUAUCGAGAGGAACACCUGCGGCGAAGGCGGGUAGCUGGGCCGACACUGACGCUGAUGCGCGAAAGCGUGGGGAGCGAACAGG